ACAGGAGAGGAAAGACCACGCAGACACUAAGCGUCUGCCAGGAGGUCAGCCCCGCACGGGGCUGGGCGGGCUCGGGGCGUGGGGGCUGCAGGCGGAGCCCCGGCGCGCCCAGCGCCCGCAGGCGCGGGAGAGGCAACCCCGGCCAGGGCCUUCCCGCAGCUCCUCGGGCUGCCUCGGCCGCAGCCGCCAGGGGCAGCAGGGCACUCGCGCGGCCGGGCCACCACGGCCAUCCCAGUCACCCCAGGCUCCCGCGUGUCCAGGCCGCGCCUCCCCCCCGCCCGCGGACCUGGCGACGUCACUGCGGCUCUGACGCGCGCUAAUGGAGGCACGGGCGGAGGCGGCGUGGCGCAGGCACCCGCCCGGGAGGUCCUGGUCCUUGCAGCCCGCGGCCGCGUUCUUGGCCCUCCUCCAGGGGAACCUCGAUUUUCCAAACUCGGGAAGGCCGGCUGUCCUUCGGCUACUGAUUAGGACGCGAGCGCCUGGUAAAAGAUUUUAACAAUGCCCGGAAAGAAAUAGCCGGACCCAGGAAAGACUAAUAAUAGCCGCCAGCUAGAGUUCUGCUCGUGCGCUCAGCGGUCUUAAGAACAAUAAUAACGACAACCACAAUAGCCACCAUUUAUUGAGCGCUUACUCUGUGCCAGGCACUGUGUUCAGCGCUUUGCAGGCAACAACCCUCGGAGGUAAGGUCACAAGACUGGUAAGUAGCAAUGCUGGGAAUCUACCAGGAGUAUCUGACUUUAAAGUGAUGUUCCCAUCACCCAUCAUGCAGAAUGUACAAGGUGAUACAGCUGAACAAAAGAGGUAAGAUACAAACCAUGCAAAAACAAACCAAAAUCUAUUCUAAGACUGCUCAAAAAUACCACAUGUGUAGCAAAGGCUUCAAUAGCUUUCUGAGACCCAGUCUGAGACUCAAUUGUCUAAAAUAGGAAAACAAAUCCUCAAGGUGCAACCAGAGGAGAAUAGGAAUGAGGCGUUCAGCUUUCCCUUGGAAGAGCAUCUGGAGAGGCCCACUCACUUUCUAUGUCUGGGCUCUGAGGAAAUAAAGGUGGUUCUAGGAAAAUCUGAAAAGUAUGAGAGGGAAAAAAAAAAUCCCUUCUGUGGUUUUUACUUUAACCAAGACUCAUUUUGCUAUUUGUGUUUUAUUUUUAAACUAAUGUGGCUCUCUCCACCCUUUAAAUUGGCACAUAAAUAGCAAAAACAGAAGGAAGGCCAGCUACAAACUUCAAAUGUGGUGGGUUUCUCAGGGAGGAGGUACCUGACUUGAAGUGAAAAUGAGGAUUAAAUGAGGUGCCUUAAACAUUUCAAAGACAGACUUUCCACAAGGAAUUUAGAUCAUAAGCCUUUAGAACAGAAGUUUUGUCUGAGUUUAGGCUGGGUAUAGUGUUGAGAAUUUAUGAGUGCCCCCAGAAUGUGGAAAACGAAUCACAUUUUUAGUGUCUGUCUCCAUCAUCUAGUCAUCUGGGCCACCACUUUGCUUAUGGCUUUAAAGGAUGGCUUCUGGGGGAUUUUCCUGUCCUCUGGAUCUCAGUCACACACCCUCCCUCAGACCCCUUACUUUUCCAGAAGUUUGCUCCGGGAAUUCUGUUGAGGUGAAGCAAUGAUCGAUGAUGUCGCUAGGCUUGGUUGAAGAGAUUGACUGGCCAGCUCUGGAACCACUAACUGGAGGUUUUCCAAACUGGGAAACCAAAGCAGAAGGAACUUCUUGAGACUUGUCACUUAACAGUUGUGACUCUCUCACCAUACGUCUUUGAACUACAAGGAUUCCCCUCUUACCCAACACCAGACAGUCCUGAACAUCCCAGGCUGCUUCUUGCAAAAUUCUUAGACCUCUUUGACCUUUCCUUUCUCUGCUGCUUCCCUCAUUCUUUCAGUGCAUUCAUUCUACAAACAUGUAUUGAGGGCCCACGAUGUGUAGAUC